CCUACGGGGGGCUGCAGUGAGGAAUAUUGGUCAAUGGACGAGAGUCUGAACCAGCCAAGUAGCGUGAAGGAUGACUGCCCUAUGGGUUGUAAACUUCUUUUAUAUGGGAAUAAAAUGUUCCACGUGUGGGAUUUUGUAUGUACCAUAUGAAUAAGGAUCGGCUAACUCCGUGCCAGCAGCCGCGGUAAUACGGAGGAUCCGAGCGUUAUCCGGAUUUAUUGGGUUUAAGGGGAGCGUAGGUGGAUUGUUAAGUCAGUUGUGAAAGUUUGCGGCUCAACCGUAAAAUUGCAGUUGAAACUGGCAGUCUUGAGUACAGUAGAGGUGGGCGGAAUUCGUGGUGUAGCGGUGAAAUGCUUAGUUAUCACGAAGAACUCCGAUUGCGAAGGCAGUUCACUGGACUGCAACUGACACUGAGGCUCGAAAGUGUGGGUAUCAAACAGGAUUAGAUACCCCAGUAGUC
rnacentral:rRNA from 1 species